AAUUUACUUUUUAUAUAUAGGUUUAUUUUUUGGUUUUAUAAUAAUUUUAUUUAUUAGAUAGUUUUGUUGGGGCGACAGUGAAAUUUAUUCAACUUUCAUUAAUUUUUAACAUUAAUUUAUGUUUUGAUCCAGUUAUAUUGAUUAUAAGAUUAAUU
rnacentral:rRNA from 1 species